rnacentral:rRNA from 1 species
CCCUUAGAUAUCCUAGGCUGCACGCGAGCUACAAUGGUAUAUAUAAAAGGUUGCUGCUCUGAGAAGACUGGCAAUACCCUGAUAUAUAUCGUAUUUGGAAUAGAUUUUUGUAAUUAUCAAUCUCGAACGAGGAAUUCCUAGUAAAAAUAUUUCAUCAUAAUGUUUUGAUUGUGUCCCUGCCCUUUGUACACACCGCCCGUCGCUCCUACCGAUUGAAUAUUCCGGUGAGAAGAUAGGAGAAAAAUCUUUUGAUUUUUUGAAUAUUUUUGAACCUUGAUAUUUAGAGGAAGGAGAAGUCGUAACA